rnacentral:rRNA from 1 species
AAACUAACAAGGAUUCCCCUAGUAACGGCGAGUGAACCGGGAAGAGCUCAAAUUUGAAAUCUGGCGUCCUCAGGGCGUCCGAGUUGUAAUCUAUAGAGGCGUUUUCCGUGCCGGACCGUGUCCAAGUUCCUUGGAACAGGAUAUCAAAGAGGGUGACAAUCCCGUACUUGACACGACGACCGGUGCUCUGUGAUACGUCUUCUACGAGUCGAGUUGUUUGGGAAUGCAGCUCAAAAUGGGUGGUGAGUUCCAUCUAAAGCUAAAUAUUGGCGAGAGACCGAUAGCGAACAAGUACCGUGAGGGAAAGAUGAAAAGCACUUUGGAAAGAGAGUUAAACAGUACGUGAAAUUGUUGAAAGGGAAACGAUUGAAGUCAGUCGUGACCGAGAGGCUCAGCCGGUUCUGCCGGUGUAUUCCCCUCGGUCGGGUCAACAUCAGUUUUGUCCGGUGGAUAAGGGCGGUAGGAAGGUGGCACCCUCGGGUGUGUUAUAGCCUGCCGUCGCAUACAUCGGGUGAGACUGAGGAACGCAGCUCGCCUUUAUGGCCGGGGUUCGCCCACGUCCGAGCUUAGGAUGUUGACAAAAUGGCUUUAAACGAC